CCAGACUCCUACGGGAGGCAGCAGUGAGGGAUAUUGGUCAAUGGGGGAAACCCUGAACCAGCAACGCCGAGUGAGGGAAGACGGUUUUCGGAUUGUAAACCUCUGUCCUCUGUGAAGAUAAUGACGGUAGCAGAGGAGGAAGCUCCGGCUAACUACGUGCCAGCAGCCGCGGUAAUACGUAGGGGGCAAGCGUUAUCCGGAUUUACUGGGUGUAAAGGGAGCGUAGACGGCGAAGAAAGUCUGAAGUGAAAGCCCGCGGCUCAACCGCGGAACUGCUUUGGAAACUUUUUUGCUGGAGUACCGGAGAGGUAAGCGGAAUUCCUAGUGUAGCGGUGAAAUGCGUAGAUAUUAGGAGGAACACCAGUGGCGAAGGCGGCUUACUGGACGGUAACUGACGUUGAGGCUCGAAAGCGUGGGGAGCAAACAGGAUUAGAUACCCGCGUAC
rnacentral:rRNA from 1 species